AUUGAACGCUGGCGGCAGGCCUAACACAUGCAAGUCGGGCGAGCGGCGGAAGGGUGAGGAAUGGAUGGGGAUCUGCCUGAUGGCGGGGGAUAACUACUGGAAACGGUAGCUAAUACCGCAUACCAUCAGAUAAACCCAUAUGGGCUUAGCUAGUAGGUAAGGUAACGGCUUCACUAGGCAACGAUCCCUAGCUGGUCUGAGAGGAUGAUCUGCCACACUGGGACUGAGAGACGGCCCAGACUCCGACGGGGGGCAGCAGUAGGGAAUAUGGCGCGAGGGGCGCAAGCCUGAUGCAGCCAUGCCGCGGGUGUGAAGAAGGCCUUAGGGUUGUAGAGCACUUACGGCUAGUAGGCGUUACUCGCAGAAGAAGCACCGGCUAACUCCGUGCCAGCCGCCGCGGUAAUAC
rnacentral:rRNA from 1 species